rnacentral:tRNA from 1 species
GGAGAUGUAGUUCAGUUGGUAGAAUAAUUGCCUAACAUGCAUAAAGCCCUGGGUUCUAGUCCCAGCUCCA